rnacentral:rRNA from 1 species
UACGAAGGGUGCGAGCGUUGUUCGGAAUUAUUGGGCGUAAAGGGUUCGUAGGCGGUUAUGCAAGUCAAGUGUGAAAACCCUGGGCUCAACCUGGGGCGUGCAUUUGAAACUGCAUAUCUUGAGUAUUGGAGAGGGUGGUGGAAUUGCUGGUGUAGGAGUGACAUCCGUAGAGAUCAGCAGGAACACCGGAGGCGAAGGCGACCACCUGGCCGAAGACUGACGCUGAGGAACGAAAGCGUGGGGAGCAAACAGG